rnacentral:tRNA from 1 species
GCCGGGGUGGCGAAAUUGGCAGACGCGCCAGACUUAGGAUCUGGUGGAGAAAUCCGUAGGGGUUCGAGUCCCCUCCCUGGCA